UGGGGAAUCUUGCGCAAUGGGCGAAAGCCUGACGCAGCCAUGCCGCGUGAAUGAUGAAGGUCUUAGGAUUGUAAAAUUCUUUCACCGGGGACGAUAAUGACGGUACCCGGAGAAGAAGCCCCGGCUAACUUCGUGCCAGCAGCCGCGGUAAUACGAAGGGGGCUAGCGUUGCUCGGAAUUACUGGGCGUAAAGGGCGCGUAGGCGGAUCGUUAAGUCAGAGGUGAAAUCCCAGGGCUUAACCCUGGAACUGCCUUUGAUACUGGCGAUCUUGAGUAUGAGAGAGGUAUGUGGAACUCCGAGUGUAGAGGUGAAAUUCGUAGAUAUUCGGAAGAACACCAGUGGCGAAGGCGACAUACUGGCUCAUUACUGACGCUGAGGCGCGAAAGCGUGGGGAGCAAACAGG
rnacentral:rRNA from 1 species